rnacentral:rRNA from 1 species
AAUUUUUUUCAGACCACCUUAGGAAGUGAUUUCAUUAGCUCUUUGAAGUUAAGCAAGGUCAGGCCCGGUCAGCACAUGAAUGGAAAACCUUCAGGGAAAUCAUGCUUCAGAAGGUA